rnacentral:rRNA from 1 species
UCGGGAAUUUUGGGCAAUGGGCGAAAGCCUGACCCAGCAACGCCGCGUGAGGGAUGAAGUAUUUCGGUAUGUAAACCUCGAAAGAAUGGGAAGAAUAAAUGACGGUACCAUUUAUAAGCUCCGGCUAACUACGUGCCAGCAGCCGCGGUAAUACGUAGGGAGCAAGCGUUGUUCGGAUUUACUGGGCGUAAAGGGCGCGUAGGCGGCGCGGUAAGUCACUUGUGAAAUCUCUGAGCUUAACUCAGAACGGCCAAGUGAUACUGCUGUGCUAGAGUGCGGAAGAGGAAACCGGAAUUCUUGGUGUAGCGGUGAAAUGCGUAGAUAUCAAGAGGAACACCUGAGGCGAAGGCGGGUUGCUGGGCCGACACUGACGCUGAUGCGCGAAAGCCAGGGGAGCAAACG